rnacentral:rRNA from 1 species
UAAGGUUAAUACCGCAUACGAAAUUCUGGUUGAAAGCGGGGAUCGCAAGACUUCGCGCGAUUGGAGCGGCCGAUGGCAGAUUAGGUAGUUGGUGGGGUAAAGGCUUACCAAGCCGACGAUCUGUAGCUGGUCUGAGAGGACGACCAGCCACACUGGGACUGAGACACGGCCCAGACUCCUACGGGAGGCAGCAGUGGGGAAUUUUGGACAAUGGGCGCAAGCCUGAUCCAGCCAUUCCGCGUGCAGGAUGAAGGCCCUCGGGUUGUAAACUGCUUUUGUACGGAACGAAAAGGUUCUGGUUAAUACCCGGAGCUGAUGACGGUACCGUAAGAAUAAGCAC